rnacentral:rRNA from 1 species
GCUACGUGAGAGGUGAAAUUCUUGGACCGUAGCAAGACGGACUACAGCGAAAGCAUUUGGCAAGAAUGUCUUCAUUAAUCAAGAACGAAAGUCAGAGGUUCGAAGGCGAUCAGAUACCGCCCUAGUUCUGACCGUAAACGAUGCCAACUAGCGAUCCGCCGGCGGAUUUAUUCGCCCUGGUGGGGAGCUUCCCGGAAACGAAAGUCUUCCGGUUCCGGGGGAAGUAUGGUUGCAAAGCUGAAACUUAAAGGAAUUGACGGAAGGGCACCACCAGGAGUGGAGCCUGCGGCUUAAUUUGACUCAACACGGGGAAACUCACCCGGCCCGGACACCGUAAGGAUUGACAGAUUGAUAGCUUUUUCAUGAUUCGGUGGAUGGUGGUGCAUGGCCGUUCUUAGUUCGUGGAGCGAUUUGUCUGGUUUAUUCCGAUAACGAGCGAGACUCUAGCCUACUAAAUAGUUGGCUCAUUGCUUCUGUGGGCACAACUUCUUAGAGGGAUUUUCGGUGUUCAGCCGCACGAAAUUGAGCAAUAACAGGUCUGUGAUGCCCUUAGAUGUCCGGGGCUGCACGCGCGCUACACUGGCAAAAUCAGCGUGCUUGUCCUUCCCCGAAAGGGGUUGGUAAACCGGUGAAAAUUUGCCGUGAUUGGGAUCGGACAUUGCAAUUAUUGUCCGUGAACGAGGAAUUCCUUGUAGGGGCGAGUCAUCAACUCGCUCUGAAUACGUCCCUGCCCUUUGUACACACCGCCCGUCGCUGCCCGGGACUGAGCCAUUUCGAGAAAUUCGGGGACGGUUAGUGUUCCGGCUUCGGUCGGUAUGCAGACUGGAACCGAUUUAAUCGCAGUGGCUUGAACCGGGCAAAGUCGUAACAGGUAGCUGUAGGUGAACCUGCUGCUG